rnacentral:RNase_P_RNA from 1 species
GAAGCAGAUCAGACCGCCGCUGGUGCGAGCGUGGAAACACGGCACUGGAGGAAGGUCCGGACUGCAAAGAGCGGCGUAGCAGCUAACGGCUGCCCGGCGAAAGCCGAGGAUCAGAGCAACAGAGACGAGUCAGGUCGGGUCCGCCCGACCUGGGUGAAACGGGCAAUCUCUACGCGCAGCAACACCAAGUAGGCCAGCGAUGAUGCGGCUCGCAGAGCUGGCGGGUAGGUGGCACCGAGCCGGGCAGUGAUGCCCGGCCCAGAGGAAUGGCGGUCACGGGACCAGGCCCGCAAGGGUCAGGUCUUGCACAGAAUCCGGCCUAUCGAUCUGCUUCACCC